rnacentral:snoRNA from 1 species
UACAUUUCUAUGAUGAUCCAACCAAAAUGCAUAGUUCAGCUGAUGGCCUUGGCGCCGCAUGAACGAAGAAAAUGUCACAUCUUUCGCUCCUAUCUGAGAACCCCC